rnacentral:rRNA from 1 species
GAUGAACGCUGGCGGCGCGCCUAACACAUGCAAGUCGAACGGCACCCACCCUCGGGUGGAAGCGAGUGGCGAACGGCUGAGUAACACGUGGAGAACCUGCCCCCUCCCCCGGGAUAGCCGCCCGAAAGGACGGGUAAUACCGGAUACCCCGGGGUGCCGCAUGGCACCCCGGCUAAAGCCCCGACGGGAGGGGAUGGCUCCGCGGCCCAUCAGGUAGACGGCGGGGUGACGGCCCACCGUGCCGACAACGGGUAGCCGGGUUGAGAGACCGACCGGCCAGAUUGGGACUGAGACACGGCCCAGACUCCUACGGGAGGCAGCAGUGGGGAAUCUUGCGCAAUGGGGGGAACCCUGACGCAGCGACGCCGCGUGCGGGACGGAGGCCUUCGGGUCGUAAACCGCUUUCAGCAGGGAAGAGUCAAGACUGUACCUGCAGAAGAAGCCCCGGCUAACUACGUGCCAGCAGCCGCGGUAAUG